rnacentral:rRNA from 1 species
UACGUAGGAGGCAAGCGUUGUCCGGAAUUACUGGGCGUAAAGCGCACGUAGGCGGUCCGUUAAGUCAGAUGUGAAAGCCCCCGGCUCAACCGGGGAAGUGCAUCUGAAACUGGCGGGCUAGAGUACGAAAGAGGGUCGCGGAAUUCCCGGUGUAGAGGUGAAAUUCGUAGAUAUCGGGAGGAACACCGGUGGCGAAGGCGGCGACCUGGGUCGAUACUGACGCUGAGGUGCGAAAGCGUGGGGAGCAAACAGG